GCCCAGGUGGUGAAAUCGGUAGACACAAGGGAUUUAAAAUCCCUCGACCUUUAGGUUGUGCGGGUUCAAGUCCCGCUCUGGGCACCA
rnacentral:tRNA from 1 species